rnacentral:sRNA from 1 species
CGAGUUUACAUAAAGAGUUAGUAUAUGAUAAACUGUUGGAAAAAAAAAGUAGUAGGGUACAUGUUACGAGAAAACUAAAAAAAAAAAUUAUUACAUUGUACUGACAUAUAUGUUAAGAAAAAAACUAUAUGUAGCAUAAACGAAGGCAAACGAAAAUACAGCUCGAAAAAACUAAAAAAUUCCGAUUUUGGUGUUAAAAGAGCCACCAGAACCGAUAACACAAUCAGCGGCGACUAAGUUUCUUUAAGAGAGAAGCAUGAGGGUUUUUGAAGAGAGAAAGGGUUUGGUUUUUGUACAGUAUUUGUUCGUUUAUUCGCAGAAAAAAAAACAAAACAUAGCAGUCAUGGAUUCUCUUUCAACGCCUCCGUCGACUAUGCAAAAUUCCACCAGAGGCUCUCAAUCCUUAUCGUCCCUGCUAACGUCAAAUCUCCCUCCACCGUCGUUUCAGCCACCAACGACAAAUCUCAGUCUGAAUUCUCUUUCAACGCCUUCGUCGACUAUGCAAAAUCUCUCACUAUACCUCGGGAUUCUCUAGCUCUUGCACACUUACACCAUCCAUGCUAACGUCAAAUCUCCCUCUGCUGUCUAAUCUCUCUCCACUGUCGUCUCACUCACCAACGACGAAUCUCAGUCUGAAUUCCCUUUCAACGAUGUCGACUAUGCAAACUUUCACCGGAGACUCUCAGUCCGUACCGUCUCUGCUAACGUUAAAUUUUCCUCUGCUGUCUAAUUUAGGGCUUUUAUUGUGCUCUAUCCAAUAGUGCCAAUUCUAGCUAUGGUUGGGUUCUCCGUGUGCGAGUGUAUUGUUUGUCUACUCUUCUGGUUUCAUUUAGGACAAAAUGAUGUUGCAGAGCCUGAAGAAGACAUGUGAUUUGGUCUACUUCCGAAGAUUUUGAUGAUUAUAAUUACUCCUUUUU